GAGUUUAAGCCCCUACGCUCAGUUCAAAACUCAGCUGUAACAACACACAUCUUCAUCGCAGUUAGAGGAUGAAAAGGGUGAAGGAUGUUGAAGAUUCCAACUCUGAACUUUGGUGAAGGGAACGAUGCCCCUUCUGAAUUUCACCAAGUGAGUUUUUUAUAGCAUUUCCUCUUCCAAAUGCAGUUAGAAAUGCAAAUCUAAAUUCACUUGAAAUUAACCAAAUAGUUAGGAUUUAGUUUGGUGUUAGUUGUGCAGAAUUCUGUUAUGAGUUAACUUGAACUAAAAAGUUGUUAGAUAGUGUUAGUUCAGUUAGUUUCGAUUUCUGUUAGAUGACAGUUGUAAUGUUAAUUCGGUUAUAGUUAGUUUGUUAGAUGUGAAUGAUAUGUUGUCAACUUCUAUUAUCGUUUGUUUAGUAAAUGUGUUAGGAUACUUGGCCAUGUUAUGUUUAUUUGUGAGCUGGUAUUGAUGAAAUCAAAAUGAUGUUUUGAACUGGUUUUUCAUGGUUGCUACUGUGCUAUUAAAUAAGGCUAUGAAAAGAAAAACAUAUUAAUUCCAAACUCUAUUAGUUAAUGAACCAACUCCCUCUAUGUUAGUUUUGGUUAAUAUAUGAUUCAGUUUGGGAUAUUGUUAUGAUGAACCUUGCAAUGCUAAAUGAUGAACAUGAAUCUUGUCAUGUUAAAAUUAACUUGGGAAUAUGAUUGAAGCUAAUUGGAUUAUGUGUUGAAUAACACAAUGCGUUAAUGUGUUUCUUGCUUUUGUAGGUACAUCUAUGGAAGGAAAAGUAAUUUGGGAUAGAAGGAGAUUAUGAUAUGAAGCAUGAAGAUGGUGGAUGUUAAUGCUUAGGAAUUUGAAUUAGACAUUAGAACCUUAUGUCAUGAGCUUGUAUUUUUGAGUUUGAUUCAUAUGUAAGGUGUUAACAUGAUUAUGUACUUGAACCUUGAAUUUGAAGUUGGAAAUUGAAUGGAAUGCUUGAAUUUGUAUAUGGAAAUGUGUUAGAAUGUUUGGCAUUGAAAGUGAAUUGAAAUGGCCACAUUUUCGGUGGUUUGGAAUUGGCUUGCAUUGAUUUGUAUUUCCAAAUUAGAUUGAAUUAUUAAUA
rnacentral:lncRNA from 1 species